rnacentral:rRNA from 1 species
CCUACGAGAGUCAGCAGUGAGGAAUAUUGGUCAAUGGGCGAGAGCCUGAACCAGCCAAGUCGCGUGAGGGAGUACUGCCCUAUGGGUUGUAACCCUCUUUUGUCGGGGAGCACAAGCCGGACGUGUCCGGCUGUGAGCGUCCCCGAAGAAAAAGCAUCGGCAAACUCCGUUCCAGCCGCCGCGGUAAGCCGGAGUAUGCGAAGUUUAUCCGGAGUUAUUGGGUUUAAAGGGUGCGCAGGCGGAUUUUUAAGUCAGCGGUAAAAUCGUGGGGCUCAACCCCAUCCAGCCGUUGAAACUGGGGAUCUAGAGUGUGCGAGAGGUAUGCGGAAUGCGUGGUGUAGCGGUGAAAUGCAUAGAUAUCACGCAGAACCCCGAUUGCGAAGGCAGCAGACCGGUGCACAACUGACGCUCAGGCACGAAAGCGUGGGUAUCGAACAGGAUUAGAUACCCCGGUAGUC